CGCAGCGGUUGAGUUGCUGCUAUACACCCGGGUUCUAUCCUGGCCAUGUACAAGCUGUUGCACGACGUUUGUACGUUCUCCGUGACCUGUGUGUGUUUUCUCUGGGAGCUAUAGUUUCCUCCCACACCCUAAAGAUGUAUAGAUUUGUAGUUUAAUUGCUUUGGCAUGAUUGUAAAAUUGUCCCUAAUAUGUGUGGAUAUCUGCCCCCUGCUGGAUCGAAGGGCCUGUAUCUCCAAGUUAAAGUAUCUCUAAACGCUGUAUCUCUAAACUAAACUACACUAAACUAAACUAAACUAAAUUAAACUAAACAUAUAACCAUAUAACCAUAUAACAAUUACAGCACGGAAACAGGCCAUCUCGGCCCUACAAGUCCGUGCCGAACAACUUUUGUUUCCCUUAGUCCUACCUGCCUGCACUCAUACCAUAACCCUCCAUUCCCUUCUCAUCCAUAUGCCUAUCCAAUUUAUUUUUAAAUGAUACAAAUGAACCUGCCUCCACCACUUCCACUGCAAGCUCAUUCCACACCGCUACCACUCUCUGAGUAAAGAAGCCCCCCUCAUAUUACCCCUAAACUUCUGUCCCUUAAUUCUGAAGUCAUGUCCUCUUGUUUGAAUCUUCCCUAUUCUCAAAGGGAAAAGCUUGUCCACAUCAACUCUGUCUAUCCCUCUCAUCAUUUUAAAGACCUCUAGCAAGUCCUCCUUUAACCCUCUGCGCUCCAGAGAAUAAAGACCUAACUUAUUCAACCUAUCUCUGUAACUCUGUAACAUGGUUCUCCCUCGAUCAUAGGAACUGACGCUGUUUGCCGGCGCAUUCGAGAGUAUCAGUAUGACCACAAAUCAAAUUGGUGAAAUUACCGAUUAUAAAUUCGGUAUGGUAACGAAUUUCAGAUGUCUUUUCUCAGAAAUCCCCAUUGAAACGACUUACAUCGGGUCAUUUCCUUCAGCUGUGUGCGGAUGAAAGGCAAGUGUGGAUUAUAAGGCAUGCUCGCCCUCUGUUGGCCCGCCAUGGGAAUUUCGCUCCACCCAUCUCCGCCCUGCAACCGCACGUUCCGCCUCUCACGCAGUAUCCAAUCGAUGUCAUCUUAUGAUGCCCCGCCCAUUUCUCGCCUUUGGUUCUGUCGCUCUGUGAACAUGUCGUGCCUUUGUCUUUGGGAGCCAGCUGCAGCCGGUCGCUGGUUGGUCUUGGUUGGUUUUACAGAGUGUUAGUUUGGACAGAGUGUGUCAAAUGAUGAGCAGUUACAGAUUUAUACCUAGUAUUGUCGGACACCUCCUCCCGCUGUUCAUUACCAUGUCACUUCUCAAUUCGACACAUCAAAAUACAGUGGAACAAUCCGAAGCAGAAAUUACGUUCGAAGAGGGAAGGAAUGUCACACUAAGCUGUGCUCUGAAAACCAGUGAUACAACGCCUUAUGUUUACUGGUACAAACAGCGCCCAGCUCACUCUCCACACUACCUGCUUCAGGUUCUGGGAAAUAUUGUAUUAAGGAACCAGGGCGUGACCGAUCGCUUCUCUGCUACGUUCAAUAAAACUGCGAAGAUGACCGAGUUCAUGAUACGCGACCCCGUGAUGUCUGAUUCCGCCCUGUACAUCUGCGCCAUGAGACGCACACUGUUGCAGAAAUGCUGCAGGCUCGAACAAAAACCAACCCUCUGUGAUCCCCAUGAGCGUUCGCCAGCGAGCGCUCUUAAACAAAACGGAGACAUUUUGGAGAAAUAGGAAGGAAAAUGUAGAUUGGUUAUUUCCUACUAGCCAGUUACAAUUCUUCUUAGUAGUUACUCCGCGUAUUGUGUACUUUCGGUGUCAAAAUUGCAACUAUUUCCAUUCUACGGGUCGUCAGUUCUGUGUUGCUUAUGACAACGCCUGCAAAUUCUGCAAGAAGUUAAACCACUUUGCUCGGUGCUGUCGUUCCCGUGUGAAUCCAGCAGCUUCAAGGACGAGCCUGCACCUGCUACAACAUUGUUGAUAAUGACUUCCAAGAGCACCACAUCGCACCACGCCCAGAUCGAAAAAGAAUUGUUCGCAGUGGUUUUCGCCUGCACGAAAUUCGAUGACUUUAGGUGAUUAGUGGGGAAAAUGAGGGCACAUGGUAUUGGGGUAGAGUGUUGACAUGGAUAGAGAUUUGGUCGGCAGACAGGUAACACAGAGUAGGGAUUAACGGGUCCCUUUCAAAAUGGCAGGCAGUGACUAGUGGGAUAGCGCAAGGCUCGGUGCUGGGACCGCAACUAUUUACAACAUACAUCAAUGAUUUGGAUGAAUGGAUUCAAAGUAGCAUUAGCAAGUUUGCAGAUGACAAGAUCGCUGGGUGGCAGUGAGAACUGUGAGGAGGAUGCUAUGAGAAUGCAGGGUGACUUGGACAGGUUGGAGGAGUGGGCAGAUGCAUGGCAGAUGAAGUAUAAUGCGGAUAAAGGUGAGGUUAUCCACUUUGGCAACAAAAACAGGAAGGCAGAUUACUAUCUAAAUGGCGUCAAGUUGGGAAAAGGGGAAGUACAACCGGAUGUGUUAUUAAUAGUCCACCUAUAUUGCUUAGCCACUGGUGCUUCUUUUGUUUCUAAAGGAAAGAUGUAGAUUGGUUAUUUCCUACUAGCCAUUUAUAGUGCUUGUUAGUAGCGACUCCGCCUAGUAUGUGCUUGAUAUUAUCAAGUGCUUGCCUAGGCUAGUUGGUAUGAGUAGUUCCUUGGAAAUGUAAUGUCCGACAGAUCUAUGCUGUAAGUAGAUUUAAUAAACACGUGUGGUAUCUUGAUAUGUGUUCGACUCGGCUCAUUAUAGAAAGGGUACGUAUUCGCUUGGAAUAAAGUGUGCCAAAAAGCAGGAAGACUGGGAUUGUUUUCAAUAUGUGAAUUCGUGCGAACGCUGUUGUUCCCAAUGUUCAACAUCUUGAUAUUUUGAUGGGGAACUAUACCUUGUACGACUCGGAAAUGUUUUUGCAUUGACACGGACUCCGUUGCUGAUCUAUGUAAAUAUCUCUACAGUCUCCCACGGACUCUUGUAUAUUUCGAAACCCGCCUGCAUGGAGAGUGGAAGUAAGUACGACAGUAAGCAGGGAGAUCGUGAGAUGGAUAAUGUAUUUUGAUCAACACAUUGUGUCAGGAAUAAAGUUGAAGGACAAGACCAAACGCGAUCUCAGGACGGCAGCAAACGCACUUGACUAGAGUUCUAUCUCAAUUACACGGCUGACGGCUUCUGCUGACGUCAGCAAGACAAUCCAGAAAAUAACAUCAUCAACGGGACCACUGGGCACCGCGGGGGGUAGAAUGUUGGGGAUAUGG